rnacentral:tRNA from 1 species
ACCGCGAUAGCUUAGCUGGUAGAGUAUCUGCCCGGCAUGCUGAGGGUUGCCGGUUCGACUCCGGCUCACGGCG